AUCUACGGCCAUACCACCCUGAACACGCCCGAUCUCGUCUGAUCUCGGAAGCGAAGCAGGGUUGGGCCUGGUUAGUACUUGGAUGGGAGAAAGGUAAAUACAGUGGUAGAGCUCUGGACUUGCAGGCA
ensembl:rRNA 5S_rRNA 5S ribosomal RNA